rnacentral:lncRNA from 1 species
CUCAUGGAUAUUUAUUUUGUACUUUUCAUUAUAAUCCAAUACUAUGUUAUUUAUAUUGUUGCUUAAAUUGUUCCAGUUUUGGCGCCUGGGAGCUCUCUCUAUUGGCUCCUGUUUCCCUUUGCCAUAAUUUUUUGUUAUGUUUUUGAGCCCUUCCUUACUUUCUGGCACUAAAGCUGCUCCAGACUCAUCUUGCAUAUUUUCUUCCCAGCCCUAGAAUCAGCCGUUUCUCCAGGGAGCCCGGUUCCUUUCACUGGAGAAUGUUCUUAGAAACAGAUCUGGAUGGUGGGUUUGCAUGUUGCUAUUGGGGACCCACUACCAGGGGGCAGAGCUAGGAAAUACAUGUAUGUAUCCUAGCCCGUGUAUUCACAUAACUGUAAUGAUUCUGUAUCUAUCAUUGGUAUCUAUAUUAAGUUAAACAUGAGCUCAUGCUACCGUCUCUGACUCUAACACAUUCAUACAGUUCAUUCUAUCCUUCUCCCUUUGCUUAUCUAUAACCUCCCACUUCAGCAGUGAAAAACCUGGCUCCUACCAUCUGCCAUCCAUUUACUUAAUUGUUCAAUGUUAGUACACAUGUACUGGGGUUUCAGAAUUGUCAAACCAUACCCCUGUGAGACACAGCUCUACCAACUGGAGGGCAGUGCUUAUGGACAGCUCUUUUCAUCUUGAGUCUUCUUGUUUCCAGUCAUUUCCAAAGUUGUUUAGGUCAGCACCUCUAGUCUCCAUGCCCUUCAAUGAGAUCCCUCGUACGUUUGUAAUACAAUUAGAUUCUGUUGCCAUCAUCUGCAUUUUAUCCUGUGAUUCCCCAUCCUCCUAGU